rnacentral:rRNA from 1 species
UACGAAGGGUGCAAGCGUUGUUCGGAUUUAUUGGGCGUAAAGCGUGCGCAGGCGGUUUUGUAAGACAGAUGUGAAAUGCCCGGGCUUAACCUGGGAACUGCAUUUGUGACUGCAAGGCUAGAGUUUGGCAGAGGGGGGUAGAAUUCCACGUGUAGCAGUGAAAUGCGUAGAUAUGUGGAGGAAUACCGAUGGCGAAGGCAGCCCCCUGGGUCAAGACUGACGCUCAUGCACGAAAGCGUGGGGAGCAAACAGG